CCAAUGGUGUUUUUCAUAAUGCAGUUCAGGUCCUCUGUUAUUUGAUAGCAUGUCAUUUUUACUUAUGCUGUUGCAAGAAUCAGGCAGAGUCGAGAUUGAAGAAGAAACUCAUGCAUGUGAUGUGCGUGUGAUCUAGAGCUUAUUGUUUUGGACCAUAUGAUUUGGAGCUAGCAUCCAUUUGAAGUGUAAACAGUCCUUAGAAGUUGUAUAUAACAAUUUGAUGAACUGGAGGAUCUACUCGAGUGAUGAAGGAACCCUGCAGCAGUCGAUGAACUAUCUAUUUGUGUGUGUGAGAAUCUGAAGUAUCUACCUGCAGUGGAAGCUCUGAAAUUGUCCACAAAACGAAAAGAUGCACUGUGGAGAGCUGCCCUAGUGGCAAAGGUUUUCUCAUAUUUCCAAGACUCUCCUUUCCUGUUUCAGGUUUUAAUAAUCCUCUCCUUUCCAAGCAAGGACGAUAGUGCAAACAGUACUAAUCCUUUGGCUUGGGUGACUUCAACAAAUAUGAAUGAGAAUCAAAUGGAAUGUUGCUCUUCUUCACUCUCCCUGCGGGUGUCUGUCUUCAUAGUGCUAAAAAGCAGAGUCAGCAUUCAAGAAGAAAUUCAUGAAUGCGCUAUGAGUGCCACUGCCAUGCAUGUUUUUGUCUCAUGAAAUUUUAAUUUGCACAAAUUGGGAAACUUCGUAUGGUGCAGCAUAAUCGGAAAACACUUUACCGGGCAUUUAUCAUGGAGAAAGCUCUUCCUAAUGAAGUCCUAAGACCUGUCUCUUACUGGGCGAUAUUUGGUGUAUUGAUCUUUCUUUGUUGAACUUUGUUUGUUCUUGGAUUUUUGGGGCAUUUUCUACACCCUUGUCUUCAAUGAAUUGUUUGACUUGACUUUU